rnacentral:rRNA from 1 species
CAGUAGCCGCGGUAAUACAGAGGGUGCGAGCGUUAAUCGGAUUUACUGGGCGUAAAGCGUGCGUAGGCGGCUUCUUAAGUCGGAUGUGAAAUCCCUGAGCUUAACUUAGGAAUUGCAUUCGAUACUGGGAAGCUAGAGUAUGGGAGAGGAUGGUAGAAUUCCAGGUGUAGCGGUGAAAUGCGUAGAGAUCUGGAGGAAUACCGGUGGCGAAGGCGGCCCCCUGGACAAAGACUGACGCUCAUGCACGAAAGCGUGGGGAGCAAACAGGAUUAGAUACCCGUGUAGUCCCUGUCUCUUAUAC